CCUCAACAUCAACUCCUGCCCACGGUUCCUGCCAACUACUCAAAUAUUGACACCAUCGUCACUCACAUAGGUUUUAAUGACCUUCGUUUUAGGCGAUCUGAGGAACUGAGGGAGGACUACAAACAUGUUUUACACCCUCGCUAGCACAGGGAAGAUAAUAAUAAUCUCUGACCCCCUCCCAUGUUACCGAAGGGGUUUGGAAUGUUUCAGCCGACUCUUUGCCCUGAACGAGUACCUGAAGAAACUUUGCAACUGACGGACAGAGUCGGUAGUGCUCCAGUUCUCCCUGUCAGAAUAAGCAACAGAGGACUUGGAAACCAUAUCAACUCCUGUAGAAAUGGCACUGUAUUUCCAUUGUGGAAAGAGCCCUCGUGAUUGGUGCCUACUCUGGGAGAGAGAUGGAUUUUUGAGAGGAGGAGGAGGAGUGGAGAUGGAGUCAUUCAAAGGUCAAUCUACCAGCCUCCAAAGCCUCUUAGUAAAGUAAAGCCCUUUACCUGUGAGAUGUCAAAGCCUACAGAAUGACAUCGGCAUUUUCCUAAUGGGUUGCCUACUACCAGAGUGAAGUGAGUUUUCAAGAAAUACAUACUGUGGCGGUGCCUGGGGAGCAGGAGAGAUGGGGAGAUGUUAGGGACUCCAUAAAAUCUCAUUAUUGACAGGGAGUUACAUUGGGAGCGCUACAGGAGGACUGGCAGACAUGACAACAGUGACAAGGUUUAAUGUGUUGCAUAGGGUAUUGGGGAAAACAGCAAAUGUCAUCCCAUGUGAAUUUGAUAACCCUCUACACACCAUGUUCACCACUUUCACAAUCAGUUAUUAGUUGCAGUGAGCUGCAGCUGGGGUUUUAAUCCUUAGACUAUAACACCUGGCCUCAUGGUAUUCUGUCACUGCAUGAAUUAUCUGAUGUAGUAGUGAUGUGCAAUGUUUAAUGGGCAAUGUUUAUCCAAUGUUCAGACAAUUUUCAAUACAGUUGAAAUAAUCCC
rnacentral:lncRNA from 1 species